CCUACGGGAGGCAGCAGUGAGGAAUAUUGGUCAAUGGGCGUAAGCCUGAACCAGCCAAGUCGCGUGAGGGAUGAAGGUUCUAUGGAUCGUAAACCUCUUUUAUAAGGGAAUUAAGUGCGGGACGUGUCCCGUUUUGUAUGUACCUUAUGAAUACGGCACGGCUAAGUCCGUGCCAGCAGCCGCGGUAAUACGGGGGUUCCGAGCGUUAUCCGGAUUUAUGGGGGUUAAGGGGUGCGUAGGCGGCCUUUUAAGUCAGCGGUGAAAGUCUGUGGCUCAACCCCGUCCGGCCGUUGAAACUGGGGUCCUUGAGUGGGCGAGAAGUAGGCGGAAUGCGUGGUGUAGCGGUGAAAUGCAUAGAUAUCACGCAGAACCCCGAUUGCGAAGGCAGCCUUCCGGCGCCCUACUGACGCUGAGGCACGAAAGUGCGGGGAUCGAACAGGAUUAGAUACCCGGGUAGUC
rnacentral:rRNA from 1 species